AUGCAGGCGACGCACAACCCUGCCCUCUAUCCGAUCUCGCUGUCACCAGACCGCAGUGCUUGGGAAGACCGGAGGGUACCCGCAGUACCGGGUGAAGAACAGUUCACCUGCGCACAGAUCGACGUGAAGUUGGCGUGCAAGGGGUUCAACUCCUCCAUCACUGUCGAUCCAACUGGCGUAAUCACGCCGGAGGACGAAGACAAUGCGCUCUGCACCCUCAAUGGCGGUCAGUCGGUGCAUCAUGGUGAAACGGCCACGUUUAACUACGUGUGGAGCACAAAAAUCAGCUUCGAGCCCGUCAGUUCGACCAUAGAAUGUUCUGAAGCAUCUGCGCCUGCUCCAUCGGCAGUAUGA
rnacentral:rRNA from 1 species